AUAACCAAAUUACCAAAUCAUUUUUUAUACCAGAGACUUUAUAUUAAUCUUCAAGUCUCUGACAUGGAAAAAAAUACUGCAGUCUUAAAAAAAAUUUUUUUAUAAGAUCAGAGCAAGGUUCAAAAUUAGGUUCAUCAGCCAGUCUAAAAAUUGAGGACGUUGAGCUGGAGAGAGCGGUUAAGAGCACUGGCCUCUCCUCCAAAGGACCUGGAAGCAAUUCCCAGCACCCACAUAGCAGCUUCUAACCGUCUUUAAUUCCCAUUCCAGGGGAUCCACAAGCCUUUACACAGACGUGCACGUAAAAAUAAAUAUUUUUUUAAAACGAGAACGUUGAAGGUUGGGUGUGGUAACUCAUACCUGUAAUCCCGACACUCAGGGAUAAUUCUCCUGCCGAGGCAGGAAAAUUAUGAGUCGAAGCCAGCAUAGGCUACAGAGCAAGACCUUGUCUUAAAAUAAGAUAAAAUAAAAAUGUUGAGAAUAUCAUAGCACGCUCAUUCUAUUUAUAAACCCUGUGUGUCAGAAAUGAAUACAAAACUGAGUGCUGGAAAUUCUUGAAGUAUUUGAAAGGCAUCAGCUACAUAUAACAUUUAUUUCAAAACGGUAUUUUUAUGUAUUCCUUUUAUAGAUACUUCAAAGCCUACCAUUUAAUAAAGAAAACAUGAGGUUGGGUAAUUGGCUCAGUGGUUAAGAGCACUGGCUGCUCUUGCAAAAGACUUGGGUUCUAUUCCAAACACCUACAUGGUGGUUCACAACCGUCUGUGACUCCAAUUCCAGGGACUCCUACACCCCCUUCUAGCCUCCUCAGGCACUAGGCAUGUAUAGAUAUGUAUACAUAAAUGCAGACAGACACACGUAAAAUAAAAAUAGACACAGAGAGCUCAGCAGGUAAAGGUGCUUGCUGCCCACGUUGGUGACCUGAGUUCAAUCCCGAAACCCUGUAAGGGCGGAAGGUGAGAACUAGCUGCAUGGUUAUCUGCCGUCCACCCACUUGGAGCACACGUGCCCGGUGCAGAACGCUUAGCAAUGACUUCUCACAUGCAGAAGGGCAGCACUUGCUAUGACGAUGACAGUGAGUGGUGCUUAUGCAGACUCACCUGGAUAGAGUAUUAUUGCUGUCACAGCUUGCCACUUGCUAUGACCCGUGAAGCUUGCCCUCACUCACUGUCAUUCUGUGCUGUAAGGUGUGGAUCCAGAGUUGUAUGAAUUAACAACUGCUAAGCUGGAGACCUCCACCUCAAGCCUCAGAGUGACUGACGCAUUUGCGAAGCUCAUGUCUACAGUGGAAAAGACGAGCACGUCGACCAGGAAACCAAAAAGGGAGGAGCACCUAAGCGAGGAGGCCGUGAAGGUGAUCGUCAGCCUUCCGGACCUGACCUUCAUGCACGCCAAGGUGCUGAUGUUCCCGGCCACGCUCACGCCGUCCACGAGCUCUCAAGGACAAGCAGAUGCGUAGCUGCUCGUGUCGGAGGAUCUGAAAUUCUCUUUCCUUUCCUCCAGCCCUUCCCAUCAUCAAAGGCAUAUCGUCUGUAAUUAAAAAUAAAAACAUGCAAGCUCAGCUGAUUGGUUGGUAAGCCACACUAGAAAGGUAUACAUAGUAAUGUAUAUUUAUUUACAUACUGAAGUCCUAAAUUUAUAUAGAAAAAUGUAAAUAAUUGGGGAUGAACAUUUUUGAAGAUUUAUUCUUUUGUGUUGCUGGGGUGUAUACAUU
rnacentral:lncRNA from 1 species